rnacentral:piRNA from 1 species
UGGACAAGUGGAACAGACAGGCUGG